UUAAGAGUGCAUAAUAUCUUAAAGUUAUCAAAAACUCCUUUGCCAUUGUUGCAUUCAAAUAGUUGGGUCUUUAGUGACAGCAAACGCCAUGAAAGUCAUGAUUAAAUUAUCAGUGCACAUAAUGCUGUGGCUGCCUCUCUAAUUAGAAAAACGAUAAGUAAUGACAAUAAGAUACUUUAGAGUGUGCAUAAAACUCUCUGCAUUGUACAGGAUCAGAGAAAUAAAAUAAGAAAGAGCCUCGCAAAGCUGCAGUGGACUCUCAGGCUUCACAGAGAUGUUGGGAGCAGCCCAAAUGUGGCCAGUGUGAAGUAAGAUUACAAAUUAGGGAGAAGGCAAUGCAGCUGAGUUAGAGGCUGUUGGCAUGAAUGAAUGAUUGUAGGAAAGGAGAAAUAUAUGAAGGGCCAAAGGGAGAGAGUGAGUGAUUUCCAUAAGGUUAGUUAGUGGAGAAAAGACUUGGAUAAUUUAAUGUCUGCAUGUUGAUAUUUGUCCAAGCUAAACUAAAAGGCGGCACUUUCUGUAGUCAGCCUUUCUCAAGUUCAAAUCCCUUUCUGCACUUAGAGAGCUUCAUGGCAACAAAGUGGAAAAAAAAAAAAAAGAUAAAAAAAAAGAUGAUGGCUUCAGGGGAAGAAGACUUUCUCAUGAUCUUCUGUCUCAUACACCAAUGUAUGAGACAAAUAUGUCUUAUCUUUUUCCCAGGCUUAAGAGAUGCAGCAUCAAGACCACUGGAUUUAGAAAUUGUUGGAAGACACUAAAGAGAACCGAUUGCACUUAUGGAUUGCUUAUGAUUUGGAAGAGAAAGUGAAUGCUUGAGUGCUUUACUCCAGUUCACACCUCACCCAGAUUUCUUUAUGUCCAAAUAAUGUUUGGGUCCUAGGAAGAGCUGCAUAAAACAAAGGUGCCAGUCCAGGCUUUAAGCAGUGAAGUGGCACUUAAAAUUAGAGCUUUUGAGUGCAGUGUGUAAAAGUCCGGCCAAAUGGGGGAAUCUCUGAAAUUGUGACUCUGAUUGAAAGAUCUUUACAUAUACCUAGGUAUUCACCUCCACUUGCUGCCACACAAAAUCUUUCGAUGGAUUAGGCACACAACUAGAAUAUCAUCUAUUAUAAUGUUAUAAUGUCAUCCAUUCUUUUGCAGCACUGCAUCUGCUAAUUUCCCUUUCCCCACCUUGUUUUCACCUUUUAACCUAAAUAUCUGUUCCCACAGUUCCAAUCUUGUUUUCUUGUUUCUGUGAGCCAUGCAAAUAAAUCCAUCUGACCUGCAUAAUGUAUUGUUUGG
rnacentral:lncRNA from 1 species